rnacentral:rRNA from 1 species
AUUGAACGCUGGCGGCAGGCUUAACACAUGCAAGUCGAGCGAGCGGCGGACGGGUGAGUAAUGUCUGGGAAAUUGCCUGAUGGAGGGGGAUAAUUACUGGAAACGGUAGCUAAUACCGCAUACCAUCAGAUGUGCUCAGAUGGGAUUAGCUAGUAGGUGGGGUAAUGGCUCACCUAGGCGACGAUCCCUAGCUGGUCUGAGAGGAUGAACAACCAACCUGGAACGGAGACACGAUCCAGGCACCUACGGGAGGCAGCAGUGGAGCAUGUUGCACCAUGGGCGCAAGCCUGAUGCAGCCAUGCCGCGUGUGUGAAGAAGGCCUUCGAGUUGUAAGGCACUUUCAGCGGGGAAGCGUUACUCGCAGAAUAAGCACCUGCUAACUCCGUGCCAGCAGCCGCGGUAAUUC